rnacentral:tRNA from 1 species
AAGAAAGAAUCAUAAAUGGUAGUGAGAUUGGCUUUGAAACCAAUAUUAGGGGGUUCAAUUCCUUCCUUUCUUG